rnacentral:rRNA from 1 species
AUUGAACGCUGGCGGCAUGCCUAACACAUGCAAGUCGAACGAGUGGCGGACGGGUGAGUAAUGUCUUGGAAACUGCCUGAUGGAGGGGGAUAACUACUGGAACCGGUAGCUAAUACUGCAUACCAUCAGAUGUGCCCAGGUGGGUGUAGAUAGUCUGUGGGGUACCGGAUCACCAAGACGACGUGCCCUAGCUGGUCUGAGAGGAUGACCGGCCACACGGGAACUGAGACACGAUCCAGACGCCGACGGGAGGAAGCAGUAGGGAAUAUUGGACAAUGGGGGAAAUCCUGAUGCAGCGCUGCCGCGUGUAGGAAGAAGGUCGUCGGGUUGUAAAGGACGUUCAGUGGGGAUGCGUUACCCGAAGAAGAAGCAACGGCUAACUCCGUGCCAGCAGCCGCGGUAAUAC